CAAUAGCGUAUAUUAAAGUUGUUGCGGUUAAAAAGCUCGUAGUUGGAUUUCUGUCUCCUGCGCUCGGUCCGAUCUACGAUCGCGUAUCUGAGACGCGCGAGGCAUCCGGAAGUUUAAGGCGCGUUGCUUCAUUGCAAUGUCCGUAGGCUUCUCUUUUACUUUGAGGAAAUUAGAGUGUUCACGGCAGGCAAUCGCCCUGAAUACAUUAGCAUGGAAUAAUAAUAUAGGACCUCGGUUCUAUUUUGUUGGUUUCUAGAGCUGAGGUAAUGAUUAAUAGGGAUAAUUGGGGGCAUUCGUAUUAUCACGUCAGAGGUGGAAUUCUUGGAUUGUGUUACGACGAACUACUGCGAAAGCAUUUGCCAAGGAUGUUUUCAUUGA
rnacentral:rRNA from 1 species